rnacentral:rRNA from 1 species
CCUACGGGAGGCAGCAGUGAGGAAUAUUGGUCAAUGGCCGUAAGGCUGAACCAGCCAAGUCGCGUGAAGGAAGAAGGAUCUAUGGUUUGUAAACUUCUUUUAUAGGGGAAUAAAGGUAUCCACGUGUGGAUAUUUGCAUGUACCCUAUGAAUAAGCAUCGGCUAACUCCGUGCCAGCAGCCGCGGUAAUACGGAGGAUGCGAGCGUUGUCCGGAUUUAUUGGGUUUAAAGGGUGCGUAGGUUGUUUUUUAAGUCAGCGGUGAAAGUUUGUGGCUCAACCAUAAAAUUGCCGUUGAAACUGGAAGACUUGAGUGAGUGUGAGGUAGGCGGAAUGCGUGGUGUAGCAGUGAAAUGCGUAGAUAUCGCGAAGAACACCGAUUGCGAAGGCAGGUUACUGAGCCAUAACUGACGCUGAAGCACGAAGGCGUGGGGAUCAAACAGGAUUAGAUACCCUAGUAGUC